rnacentral:rRNA from 1 species
ACGAACGCUGGCGGCGUGCUUCACACCUGCCAGUCGCACGGAAAGGCCCUGCUUUUGUGGGGUGCUCGAGUGGCGAACGGGUGAGUAACACGUGAGUAACCUGCCCUUGACUUUGGGAUAACUUCAGGAAACUGGGGCUAAUACCGGAUAGGAGCUCCUGCUGCAUGGUGGGGGUUGGAAAGUUUCGGCGGUUGGGGAUGGACUCGCGGCUUAUCAGCUUGUUGGUGGGGUAGUGGCUUACCAAGGCUUUGACGGGUAGCCGGCCUGAGAGGGUGACCGGCCACAUUGGGACUGAGAUACGGCCCAGACUCCUACGGGAGGCAGCAGUGGGGAAUAUUGCACAAUGGGCGGAAGCCUGAUGCAGCAACGCCGCGUGCGGGAUGACGGCCUUCGGGUUGUAAACCGCUUUCGCCUGUGACGAAGCGUGAGUGACGGUAAUGGGUAAAGAAGCACCGGCUAACUACGCG